AAAUAUGUGAUCAUAUGUAUAUUCAGUUAUAAUGCCAGAAGAAGAUAAGCCUGGAAUGUAUAGUCAUAUGUUAUGGCCUAAUUUGACACUGAACUAUUUUCUCGUUCUUGUGUAUCCACAGGUUCUCACUCACUGAUGGUUUUGGCAACAUAUAUAGCUGGACAGACACCAUUUCCUGAGUUCAUUGUUGUGGUGAUGUUGGAUGAUCUGCAAAUAAUGUAUUAUGACUCAACCACAUGGAAAGUUGUGAAUGUGAGUUGUUGGAUGUGAACUGUUGAAUGAUGAUAAACUAGGUCCAAUUCAUUUGUGGGAUGCUUUUGAUAGUCAAAAAAUGGAAGAGUUCACAUAUGUUCUGGAAAAAAACGUUAUCCAGGUGAAAAAGCCAUGGAUGCCGUGGGACCAAGUGGAACAGCUUCGUUUGAACUUUUUAAAAGAAAAUGUUUAUCAACCUAUUUGCAUUAAAGUUUUGCGAAGGUACCUGAAUAUGGAAAAGAACAAUGUGAUGAGAAAAGGUGAGAGAAUCAAUCUGAUUAACUUCAGUAUAAAGAUAAAAAGAAGCAUAAUCAACAAAUAUGACCCAAACAGCUGUGCUGACAGAAAAUACAUGUGCCUCUGAUUGUUUUAUGAAACAUGAGAACCAUAAAUAAAUAACUGAUGCAACAGUUUAACAACAGUAAGUCUUCUCAUCCUUCUCUGUAGUGAAACCCAGAGUCAGACUCAUGAGAAAGACACUCACAGACUCUCAAGGGUUUCAGAUCAGUUGUCUGGCCACUGGUUUUUACCCCCGUCACAUUAACCUGACUCUGUUCAGAGAUGAUCAGCCUGUGGAUGAUGAUCAGAUCACAGGAGGAGAGAUUCUGCACAACGGAGACGGAUCUUACCAGAUAAGGAAGAGUUUGGUGAUCAGCACAGAAGAACUACUUGAAAGACACAAAUACAACUGUACAAUGAAACACCUCAAUCUGGACAACAAACUGGACAUUACGUUUGGUAAAGAAAAACUAACGAACAUCUUAAAACAAAACUGAACAACAAAUUAGACAUUAGAUUCAUGAUACUUUAUUUUCGUUCUAUACAAUACAAUAAAAUUUAGUAUAUCAAGCCUUCGAAAAUCAGCAGUACUAUUAGAAUAUUAGAAUGAAUAACAAAUGUUUUACUGACUUUAACUUUCUUUUCCAGUUGUUUAUCUCACUGUUUAUCUCACUGUAAUAUUUUAAAUUAUUAUUUUUAAUUAAUUUCAGAUGUGGAUGUAUCUGACUCAGGAUCCAUUAGUCUGUAUGUAGUUAUCAGUGUGCUGGUGUUAAUGUGUGUGGCUGUUCUGAUCAUAACUGCUCUCAUCAAAUGGAGGAAAAAGAGAUGUUCUGCUGGUCGAGGCUCUGAGACGUCAAAGAGUGAUUACUCCCUUACUCCAUCUUCCACACAAGAUGAAACAUGAGUCUAAACAGGCCUAUAUUAAAUUAAAACUUAAAAUUAAAAAGCCUUAGCAUUUGCUCAGAGAUACCAUCAGGUUUUGUUAUGAUAAUGACCAUCAAAUGAUAUUUGAUUAAAACGACAAAGGAAUGUAAUAUAGUUACACUACAAUAACACUAUAAAAAUUAAAACAGCAGUGCAUUAUUUGUUACAACUAAGUUUUCUAUACAGUAUGUUGUUCCAUUCUACUAUCUGUAUAUUUAAACAUGUAACUUAAUAAAUAACUCUACCCGCUUUAAAGGUUUUGAGAAUCUUUCCUUUUAUCACUGAUAAUGUUGAAAGCUAAAGUGAUGGUAACUUUCGUUAUCUAAAUAUUUACGUUAAAUCUUACGUUUUCCUAUCACUUCUAAGAAAGACUUUUACCUUUAAAGAAUAAG